ensembl:lncRNA
UGCUCCAGCAUUAACCUGCCCCAUUUUGCUCUCAUGCCCUGUAGUUGCUGCUGCGUGUCCUGCAGGGGGCAGAAGCAGAGCUGAAGACAGUGGCACAUGCUGUGGUGCAGGCCCUGCAUGCAUUGGGUGUGCCGCACUGGCUCCUCCACAGGGAGCUGGGAGCUGAAGUUCUGGCAGAAGCCCAGGAGUGGCUGGGUGUGCAGGAGAAGGCCUCAGCGGAAUCACUGCGAGCCUCUCGGAGCGCCAUCCAGCAGCACAGGAAGCAGGAACUGCAGCAGCAGAGAGUGCUAAGGGAGAGACUAAGGCACUUCUACAGGUCAACUGCUGCACUAACACUCACCACUUGUGUGUAAAAAAGCCAUAUCUGUGUGUGUGCUGCACUUGACAUUCUUUUCUCUCCUGUAGAAGUGUGUGUGCAUUUCAGCCUGCAAUGUCGGAAAGAGACCUCCUGCGUGUGAGGCUUCAGUUUGUGAAACAUGUGUGUCGUCUGGAUCGUUGUCUGGUUCUGCCACAUGCUCUUUCACGGGCCAGACUAUACACCUCACUUACCAGUCCCAUCACUCAGCACAGUCAGCGUUGCUCUGACCCUAAAACCAAAAGCAGUCCUGACGCAGACCCUGGAAACACCUCUGUGACCCUUAAAGAGACAAAGAAUGAGCUGAACUCUGGAGAGUGCAUCAUGGAUGCCAGUAUGGGUGCCAGAGUAGCAGAACUGCAGAGCUUCAUCAGAAGUGUGGAGGAGAGGAUAUACUUACAUCAGCAGGAGAGAGGGAGGAACACAUCUGUGGAGGAGGUGUAUGACUGUGAGGCUCAGGAGCAGAAGGUGUAUGAGUGUGAGCAGGGUGUGGCAGAGGCUGUGGUUGCUCUGCAGUGGGAGAGAGGAGAGAGGAGAAGCAGAGUUCUCGAAACACACUCAGCCCUGUUGGAGCUCCAGUCCCUGCUGCUACAGCACCUCCGACACACACCUGCAGAACAGGAGCUCACAAACACCAUACACGCACAGAGCCUGGUGAGUUCAGGAACGCUUGAGAACACACACACGCGCACUUACACACAAGCUGAGGAGCAGAUACAUGGAGUAUCUGCAGCAUACUCACUGUGCAAUAAAAUGGAUGAGAUGCUAAACCUUAUCAGGAGAAAUGGUGACUUUUCUCCUGCACUUUGCUACACUUUGUUUCACUGAAAUCUGGCUCAGAAAAUCUGGUCUAGAAAGUGCAUUAAAUCUCCCUUGUUUUCCCUUCCACAUAUAGGACUGUGCCACAGAAAUCCAGAGCCUGUUUUUAUAUAAACAAAGGUUGAUCUACAGAUGUCACAGUGUUUAAUUAAAUCAUGCUACUUAAAUCUCAAAUCCAUUUUUAUAAACCAAACCUUUUUAAUUCCAGAGGGAAUUUUCCUGUCAUUUCGGUUGGAGUGUAGAUUCUUCUCCAAGUCUGUUUGCAUGAGGCACAUGUGGUUCUUGCUGAGCUGUUUAUCAGAGCAGAGGACAAACCCACUGAUUAUUUUUAUGUUGUUUUGGGGGACAUUAAUAGAGCCAAUCUUUAUCAUAAAUGACCUAAAAACAGGCAGGUAAUAACCUGCCCCACAAAUAAAAGAAAUGCAUGAUCA